UCUACGGGAGGCUGCAGUGAGGAAUAUUGGUCAAUGGGCGAGAGCCUGAACCAGCCAAGUCGCGUGAAGGAUGACGGCCCUACGGGUUGUAAACUUCUUUUGUCAGGGAGCAAUUGAGUCCACGUGUGGUCUUAGCGAGAGUACCUGAAGAAAAAGCAUCGGCUAACUCCGUACCAGCAGCCGCGGUAAUACGGAGGAUGCGAGCGUUAUCCGGAUUUAUUGGGUUUAAAGGGUGCGUAGAUGGGUUGGUAAGUCAGUUGUGAAAGUUUGCGGCUCAACCGUAAAAUUGCAAUUGAUACUGGCAGUCUUGAGUACAGUUGAGGUAGGCGGAAUUCGUGGUGUAGCGGUGAAAUGCUUAGAUAUCACGAAGAACUCCGAUUGCGAAGGCAGCUUACUAAACUGCCACUGACAUUGAUGCUCGAAAGUGUGGGUAUCAAACAGGAUUAGAUACCCUUGUAGUC
rnacentral:rRNA from 1 species